AAAAGAUUUUAUGGGGGUGACAUAGCUUCGACAGGAUAUUAAAAGGGAUAAUUUUCGUUCAGGCUGAUUAGCCUGGUUAGCUUUAGAGCUAUAAAAUCAUCAAUUUUACGAAUGCAAACGAUAAUUUUGCAGUAGCUGCGAACGAUAACUUCGCAGUUCAAUAUGCACAAGCUGCUUAAUUUUGGCGAUUGUCAAAUAAGCGGAUCUGCAUAAAUGCGGUCAGGGGCACCGAGCAACAGAACGCCCCAUU
rnacentral:tmRNA from 1 species